rnacentral:rRNA from 1 species
AAAAGACAUCAACCGAGAUUCCGUUAGUAGUGGCGAGCGAACGCGGACCAGGCCAGUGCUUCAUCUUCAGUUAGCAGAACACUUUGGAAAGAGUGGCCAUAGCGGGUGACAGCCCCGUAUGCGAAAACGAUGGAUGAAGACUCGAGUAGGGCGGGACACGUGAAAUCCUGUCUGAACAUGGGGGGACCACCCUCCAAGCCUAAAUACUCGUACAUGACCGAUAGCGAACACAGUACCGUGAGGGAAAGGUGAAAAGCACCCCGAUGAGGGGAGUGAAACAGUACCUGAAACCGAAUGCUUACAAGCAGUAGGAGCCUCUUUAGGGGGUGACUGCGUACCUCUUGCAUAAUGGGUCAGUGACUUAAUGUACCAUGCGAGCUUAAGCCGUUAGGUGUAGGCGCAGCGAAAGCGAGUCUGAACAGGGCGACAGAGUAUGGUGUAUUAGACCCGAAACCCGGCGAUCUAGGCAUGACCAGGUUGAAGGUGCGGUAACACGCACUGGAGGACCGAACCGGUGAAUGUUGAAAAAUUCUCGGAUGAGUUGUGUUUAGGGGUGAAAGGCCAAUCAAGCCGGGAAAUAGCUGGUUCUCCGCGAAAUCUAUUGAGGUAGAGCGUCGAAUGUAUGCCGUUGGGGGUAGAGCACUGGAUGGUUGCGGGGGUCGCGAGAUCUACCAAUACUAACCAAACUCCGAAUACCAACGAGUCUUGUUCGGCAGACAGACGGCGGGUGCUAAGGUCCGUCGUCAAAAGGGAAACAGCCCUAACCUACAGCUAAGGUCCCCAAGUCAUCACUAAGUGGGAAAGCAUGUGGGAAUCCCAAAACAACCAGGAGGUUGGCUUAGAAGCAGCCAUCCUUUAAAGAAAGCGUAACAGCUCACUGGUCUAAAUAAGGGUUCCUGCGGCGAAAAUGUAACGGGGCUAAAGUGAUGCACCGAAGCUUAGGGUUCAGAUCUUUGAUCUGAGCGGUAGCGGAGCGUUCCGUAAGCGAGUGAAGCGGGAGGGUAACCGACCGUGGACGUAUCGGAAGUGCGAAUGCUGACAUGAGUAGCGAUAAAGAGGGUGAGAUGCCCUCUCGCCGAAAGACCAAGGGUUCCUGCUUAAAGCUAAUCUGAGCAGGGUGAGCCGGCCCCUAAGACGAGCCCGAAGGGGGUAGUCGAUGGGAACCACGUUAAUAUUCGUGGGCCUGGUGGUGUGUGACGGAUCUCGUGUAUUGUACAACCUUAUCGGAUUGGUUGUGCUUUGAAGAGGUUCCAGGAAAUAGCCCCACCGUAUAGACCGUACCCGAAACCGACACAGGUGGUCAGGUAGAGUAUACCAAGGCGCUUGAGAGAAGUAUCCUGAAGGAACUCGGCAAAUUGCCUCCGUACCUUCGGAAGAAGGAGGCCCCGGCUAUGCGCAAGCACUGUCGGGGGGCACAGGCCAGGGGGUAGCGACUGUUUAGCAAAAACACAGGACUCUGCUAAGUCGGCUUCAAGACGACGUAUAGGGUCUGACGCCUGCCCGGUGCCGGAAGGUUAAGAGGAGGAGUGCAAGCUCCGAAUUGAAGCCCCGGUAAACGGCGGCCGUAACUAUAACGGUCCUAAGGUAGCGAAAUUCCUUGUCGGGUAAGUUCCGACCUGCACGAAU